CCUACGGGAGGCAGCAGUGAGGAAUAUUGGUCAAUGGACGCAAGCCUGAACCAGCCAUGCCGCGUGCAGGAUGACUGCCCUAUGAGUUGUAAACUUCUUUUGUACGAGGGUAAACCCCGAUACGUGUAUCGUGUUGAAAGUAUCGUACGAAUAAGGAUCGGCUAACUCCGUGCCAGCAGCCGCGGUAAUACGGAGGAUCCGAGCGUUAUCCGGAUUUAUUGGGUUUAAAGGGUGCGUAGGCGGUUUGAUAAGUUAGAGGUGAAAUGUCGGGGCUCAACCCCGAAACUGCCUCUAAUACUGUUGGACUAGAGAAUAGUUGCGGUAGGCGGAAUGUGUGGUGUAGCGGUGAAAUGCUUAGAGAUCAUACAGAACACCGAUUGCGAAGGCAGCUUACCAAACUAUAACUGACGUUGAGGCACGAAAGCGUGGGUAGCAAACAGGAUUAGAUACCCUAGUAGUC
rnacentral:rRNA from 1 species